rnacentral:rRNA from 1 species
AUGGAUGGAAUCAAAUAUGCAGUAUUUAAAGAAAAAAGUCUUCGUUUAUUGGGAAAGAAUCAAUAUACUUUAAUUGUCGAAUCGGGAUUCACUAAGACAGCAAUAAAGCAUUGGGUCGAACUCUUCUUUGGUGUUAAGGUGGUAGCUUUGAAUAGCCAUUGA